rnacentral:lncRNA from 1 species
ACAGUUUAAAACUGUCACAAAACCACCAAAACGGUCAUAAAACGGGUCAACUGAAUAAAAGUCAAAAUUGGGUCAAUUAUUUAAAAAAAACGGUUUUCUAAUGCAUUUUCUAUAUAACUCGAUCCCAGCCAGGGGCUCUACCCCUUAGACCCCGCCAGGGGCUGCCGCCCCUUGGACCCCGCUCCCAAGGGCGCUACCCCCGGACCCCCAUUCAUUCAAGGACUUAGCCCUUAAAUAACAGUGUAUUUUGAUACUUGAUCAAACUUAAACAAGUGUGUACUCCACACAUUCCUUACUUGUUUAAUAUUUAUUAAUAUCACUUUUGGUUAACAGAGUAAUCACAUUACACUUAAAUAACAUUGAUAAUAACAAAUCACCAACGAUAUGUACGCUUAUGUGUGUGUUUAUGUUUUACUGUGUGUAAGUGUGUAACAGAAUUUGUUAUCAAAUGUAAUUAAGCUGUGAAAAUGUUGACAUUAACCGAGAAAUAUAAAUAUAUUGCUCUUUUGAUUUUUGGAAAUGUACUCAAUUAUAAAAUAUUUUUAAGUAUAUUAAUAGGAAGAGAUAGAAAUGGAAUGUUAUUAUAAACAAUGAAAAAUAUGUUUUUAUUUCUUGCAUUUAACACAAUGCGACAUCAUUACUGUUUUUUAUGCUACUUAAUUUUAUUAUCCGUAUAGCACACAAAUUGUAACCUAUAUAUAUANNNNNNNNNNNNNNNNNNNNNNNNNNNNNNNNNNNNNNNNNNNNNNNNNNNNNNNNNNNNNNNNNNNNNNNNNNNNNNNNNNNNNAUGUUUGAAAAGUAAUCAAUGGUAGAUAAAUAAUCAUUAAUAACAUAAAAAUAGUUGAUAUUAUAUAGUUGCAAAAAUAAUAAUAAGCUAUAUAAGAUAAUAAAUUACAAACAAGUUUCCAAUAAAAAGGCUUGAACAAGUUAAGCCAUUUGAGCAAAAGAAAAGAAAAACAUAUAAGUUGGUGAUUGAUCUUUGUAAUUUGUAUUUUUGUAAUUAUGUAUAUAUAUCCGGCCUAUCCGUAAGUAGAAAAUUGGGGCACUUCGUUUUACUUAUGAUGAAAAUUAUAUCUUUUCAGGUAAAACAUAUUUUUCUCAUAUUUAAAAUAAAAAAUUUAAGAAAAAUUGCAAUAAAAGUUAUAAUGAUUAUUUACGAUACAAUAAUACCUGAUGCCAGCCAAAUCAAGGUCCCAUGAAUCACAUGUUAUGUUGAUGGCUUCCUACCCCGUCUUUCAAAUCUACCAAUCUAUUUUAAAAACGAUUUUAUAUUUGGAUUUUCUAACAAUUAUUGCUGUUAUUUUCUAAAAAAGAUUAUUAGUAUUAUUAUUAAAUUUCACAGCUGUUAUUGUAUUUAAGACUAAAUUGACUAAUUAAAACUAAUGUGACAAAAGAAAUCAUUAAUAAUUUUAACUUUUAAUUUGAUCCAUCUGAUAUCUACAGUAUGUAGGAAAUUUUUGGGACCUAACAUGGAAAAUAACUUUCUUUUUUAAUAUUAUCUUCCUUUCACAAUAUUUUUGUCAAUUAUUAUAAGUAGGCCAUGAUUGUUUUAACAAAUAAGCAUAAUUAUUGUAAAUAGGUAAUGUGUAUCUUUCCAAAUGUAUAAAAAGAAUUCACUGAAAUGACCACUUUUAUUUAUUAUAUUUAACAUAUUAUCAUAUUUUUUUUAGAAAUAAAAUGACCAUACUGUUCAAAUUUUGUUUAAGUAUCGAAGUAAAUUAUUAGUUGCGAAAUUACAUUUUCUGACAAAAUCAUAAGUUUCGAAACAAUUUUUUUUUUUUUUGAAAAAAAUUGUUUCAAAAAAUUAUUUAGAGUCCAAAGUUAAUGAUUAUGGUUGAGUCUUCUUUUUGAACAGUGGUAUAAAAUUAAAAUCUAGCAAAAGCUAGAGAGUUACAAAAUGGAAAUUGUUAAUUUAGGCUUUUACAACCAUACUAUCCAACUAACACAAAGAUUUGGUUUCCUACCAAUAAUCCAACAAAAACGAUUGAAAAAUUAUAAAAUCUCAUAAGACCGUUUUCAAAGGCUUCUUAUGAUUAAACAACUGUUUAUUCCGAAAAGACCAAAUAGCCCAUAUAAAAGUAGCUCCUAGAGCAUCCAUGUAACAUCCGGUUUUGAGGUAUGUUUUAUUUUUAAUUUAAAAUUUGACUUUGGGAGUCGUCACGGCAUGGGGAGGAUAGCCACGACCUGGCGAUGCAUAUUGUGGUCGCGGAUCUCUUUUGGGUCGCCACGACGUUGCUGCCACUGACGUUUCAAACGCUAAUUUUUCUGGGUAUUGCAGCCUAUUUAAAGGAAUGAGGAUGUUAGGGUUUGCUCACCCUCAGCCUCCACCACCAUUUUUCACUCAGAAGAAACCCUAAUUUAUUUUCCUCUAUUGUUGAAGCUUUCUUGAGUGCUAUUGAGAGAUUUUGAAGGAAGAAGCAAGGAGUAAGCCAAAGAUCAGCAAGAAAGUUCAUAUCUCCCUUCCUAACUUGAUUUUGGACCCUUGUACGUGUUCAAGGCUCCACCUUUUGAUAAUAAGUUGCUAGAUCUUGGAUUUUGUCCUAUUUUCUUUAUACUCUUAUUAGUUGGGAUGGUGAUAUUUCAUAAAUGUUGCAACUUUAUGAAUGUCUAGAUCAUCUGGAGUAGUUCAUGGUUUGGAUCUCAAGUUUGGUUGGUUGUUUGAGCCAUGCAGAAGUUUUUGGCCAUAAACCCCAUUUUGACCAAAGUUGAACCCAAUACAUGCAUUGAACAUGCAUGUCUAAAAAGCAUUAAUCUUUAAGUUGGUUUUAGUGUUAUAAGCUCUUCUGGAGCAAAUGGGCUUGAGACAUAAGGGAUUCAGUGCUUCUUGGUUAAGCUCAUGUCCUGGUUGUGCUUUAUGGACCUAAGACUUGAGAUCUAGACCUCUUGGUGAGUCUCAAGGGAUAAAUUUACAAACUUUAUCCAUUUAGACAAUAAUAAUGAUCAGAUAUAGACUUUGGAACCUCUGGGAUUGGAGGAUUCAGCUUAACCCAUUAAGACACUUUGAACCACCCAAUGCUCAUGGCGUGACCAUGGCUGCCACGACGUGGCGACUGGGGAAAACACGUUUGUUUUGUCGUUUGAGGUCGCGAGUCAACUUUGACCGUUGACUUUGACUUUUGUCUUACGUUGUCUUUUGGUCAAACCCCUAGUUUUGGAAGGAAAGCUAAGGGUGCACUUUGUACGUCUGUAUAGGUGGUUUAUAGCAUAUGUAUUCGUAACAGUAGGAGCAAUAGCGGUUGAUCAUCAUUUGUUAGGUGAAUCUCUUCACUAUGCUCGUGGGUUGAAGGCACCAAUGCCGACCCACUGGAUUACGUUUGUAGGAUGAUAGUUGUCUUUGUGACACUUAUUAAUAUGCAUGUAUGUGCUUGUUGUCUUUGUGAUUCUUGUUGAUAUGAUUGUAUGCUUAGUUGUAGGGGUGAAAUAGACCUAGUACCGGUUGAAAGAUACCGAAUGGAAUGAAAUAGACCUAGUACCGGUUGAACGAUAUUGAAGGGGGGUGAAAUAGACCCAAUUUAGUGUUUAUUUGUUAUGUAUGUUUGGUGUGUGAUAUUUUGGGGAAACUCACCAAGUUUUGUGCUUACAGUUUAAUGUUUAUGUUUUCACGUAUUUCUGGCUCGAAAGGGAAGGGCCCGACACGAUCACACCAUAUCUACUAGCAUUCCGCAUUUUAUGACAUGAUUUGUACUCCGAUAACUAUUUUAUAUAUUAUCACAUUCUGAUGGAUUUUAGAAUAAAUAAAUGAUGUUUCUGUUAGUUUAAAAAUAAAUUUUUACAUAGUACUUUUUGGGACGUUACAAUCCACACACGGUCUAAUAGGCUUCUUAAAAUGAUAAUCAGCCAACCAACACGUCCAAUCCCCCAAAUUACAAAAGAAAGGAAGAUCUAACUCCCACCAAGUAGCGAAACAAUUCCAUAAAUCAAGCGCCAUUUCACACGUGAAGAAAAGAUGAUUAAUAGUCUCCAUAUCAUUACUACAAAUCGAACAAAGAAAAGACCCAAUAUCAAUACCUCUUCUAUCCACAUUGACUCAGGUAAGGAGCUUAUUCAACCCAUGUUUCCACAAAAAAAUGACUUUAAUGGGAACCACACCAUUCCGUCUAGUCGAAUUAACAUCCACAAUCAAAGUAUUAGCAUCAAUGAAAGACCGCAUAGAAGCAACUGUGAAUCCAUCAUUACCAUUCAAAUACCACAUCCACCGAUCCCUAUGAUCAGUCAAAGUCACCAUACCAAUGUAUCUACGCAAAUCCGAAUACUGCACGAUCUCCUCCCCACCCUUUGGUCUUCUUCUCAAAACCGAAAACCAAUCAAGAAUAUGAAUACGAUCAUAGACAUUACAAUUUUUUCCUUCACCCAAUGCAUAGACACGGGGGAUUUGCUGUCACAACUGGCAUUUUUGCUAGAAAAUCCUAUUCUCAUGAAAUCAUCAUCUAUUGUAAAGCUUGUACUCUAAGUGAAUAUCAUACCCUAUGUUCAAUCAACGUCAUCCAUUUGAAGCUGAACUCUUGAAUGAAGGUCAAAACCUAAUACAAUACAUCUCAUAUGUUCAACUAUGGGUUGAAAACCCUAGAAAUCCCGAUUCAAGUUCAUUAUGGACUAGGAUCCUCUUAUUGAGCCUAAUGGGCCAAUAAGUAUCCAAACCGACUAUUUCGGGCCUAGGACCCUUAAAUGGACUCUAAAUGGACCUACAUUCACAAAACUCAACAUUUUGUUCCAUUGGACUUAGAAUGAUUCAUUCUAACCCUAGUGGGCCUUAUUGGGCCAUAACUAAUCCAAUUAACCCUAGUAAGCCGUAAAUUCAUUCUUUUAUACCAUUUUGGGCUGUGAAUUACCCACAAGGGCCCAAUGGGCCGAAAACCAUUAUUGGGCUCUAGAAAUUUGAAUUAAACCUAGAAUGGACCCAAACUACCCAUUCUUAUCCCUUUUGGACCAAAAUCUCGGCCCAAUAUAUAUAAANAUGGGAUAAUGCAUAGAUUAAACACUUGACAACAUAUAAUUGUAUCACAUACAUCCAUGAAGAUUAUUACCCUCCAUGCAAUACUUUUCCUCUUCUCUUCAUAACACUCUUGGCCUAUCUCUCACUCUCCACCCUCUCCCUUAUUUCCAAUUCAAUCCAUAUUCUCUCAACUUUUCUCCAUCCUUCAUCUCCCAAAGAAAUCGUGGAUUAAGAGAGAUCUUCAAAGAAUCACUUCAAGUUUCAUAUUUGUGGUAAGAUCUUACAAACCCAAGUGAUAUACUUCAUCUUUAAACUUAUUCACUCCUCUUACACUCAUGUUUACGUGAAUCAUGCUCUUAGAACACCUUAGAGCCCGAAAAUCAUCUCAAAAACACAUCUAGGGCCGAGAUCUCUUCAUUUCUUCAUCAAAAACCGAAAUCUUCAAACAAGGUGAGUUCAUACCCCCUUGUUUUUGGUUUUUACUUGUUUUUGGGAGAGAAUACAAGUUGAUUUGUAUAGAUCUAUGUGUAUAUGCAUGACUAUGUGUGUUUUCCAUGAAUUAUUUGGUGAUUAUGUGUUGAUUACUUCAUUAAUCUAAAAAGAUGUUAAGAACUUGAAGUUUAUCACUUGGAUCUUCAUAAGAACCUUGAGAAAAGUAUGUUUUAUUACAUAUAUUACAUAUAAACUUGUAUAUCUGGGAAUUAUACACUUAAAAUAGCAAAAAUGAGUGUUGUGCUCAAAGAUCUAUAACUUAUACUCAAAAUCAGUUUUUGACAGGAAAGUUUUAGCCCAAUCUCGAACUGUUUUGACCCUCUUAAUGGAAAUAUUUUUCAAGACUGUUUUAGAUGGAUAAAUUUCAGAUUUAUACCUUUAAAAUGACUGCUCUCAUGCUUUCAUACGAUUUUCUACAAUUUUUUGCGAAUUUUACAAAACUGCCUAUCAUAUUUGAAAUAAUUUCGGACCAACCUGUGAAGGUGAGAAAUUUCACACUUGUUAAAAGCCAUAAAAAAUUUUGAGCAAAAUUUUGAACAAAUUAGACAAAAUUUCCAAACUUCCAGAAUUUACGGAUCCAAAUUUCGACUUACGAUGAUUUUUCUACGAAUUUUCCAACAACUAGGUCAGAAAAGCCCAAAACCGGAAAAAUGUGUGUUUUCACAAAAAUCAAGCCAAAAAUGAUAUUUUUGACAAAAAUGGGUUUAAAAUGUUAUUUUUACCACAAACUAGUCAUCAACACAAGUUUUUAACAAAAUAGAGACUAAAGUGUUAUUCUUACAAAAAUUGGGCCUUAAUUGUAAAUUUUUGGCUUAUUGGGCCAAGAACGUCAUUUUUACAAAACGUGGGCUUUUAUCCGAUUUUAGUGAAUACUUGAACCAAAACCAACGAUUAACUAACAAUCGAAUUCAUUUGAUCAUUUUCUAAGUUAUUGGGCCUUAGUGGCCCAUUUUUAUGUGUGAUAGGUCCUGUAUAGUAUUUAUAUGUUUAUUGGGCCUCAUUGACCCAUAUUUGGCCUCAUUGACCCAUGAACAUGUGCGACGGACCUUGGAUAUUUAUUUGGGCCUGUAAAUACCUUACAUGUGAAAUGGGCCUUAGUUGUCAUUUCAUAUAUAUAUAUAUAUAUAUAUAUAUAUAUAUNNNNNNNNNNNNNNNNNNNNNNNNNNNNNNNNNNNNNNNNNNNNNNNNNNNNNNNNNNNNNNNNNNNNNNNNNNNNNNNNNNNNNNNNNNNNNNNNNNNNNNNNNNNNNNNNNNNNNNNNNNNNNNNNNNNNNNNNNNNNNNNNNNNNNNNNNNNNNNNNNNNNNNNNNNNNNNNNNNNNNNNNNNNNNNNNNNNNNNNNNUGAGUUGUUCGCUACAGUUAGACUAACUCAGUCUAGGGUGACGAAAACCUUAUAAUCAAAACUCAAAACCGGCGUCCAACAACGCCAAGACAUGCGAAAUUGUCAUUAGUUAGUAUGGUUAUGACGACUUACUUAGAGGAAUUAACGUUAUGAAGUUUACGGAAGACCCUUCUCUUUUCUUUUGGCUUACUCAGAAACAUUCUCGUACUGGUACUCAACCUCGGGGGUUGGUAUGGCAGCUUUCUCUUUUACAGACAACAUCGGGUUGUCUGGGAACAUUCUCUUUACAUGCUCAUUACAUUCCCUCUACAUUUUUUUACCCCUUUUAGUCAAAUAAACAAAAACAUACAUGCAUUAAUACAAGAUCUGACACAAACAUACUAAACAGUUUGCAGAAAAUAUCGGAUUUUCUGGUGGUUUCAAAAUUAUACAAAUCGUUUUCACAAACAUGCUUAUGAAAUCACCAACAUUUUAUGUUGACCGUUUUCAAAAAUACUUGUAUUCUCAGGAAACCGUUAAAGCAGGAUGAACGAAACAAACUAAUGGAUACUGUGUUAUAUUUUGUUUCAUCAUAAUCUUACUAUUUUGGCAUGUAAUAUUCAAAUACAAUACUCGAUGUAAACAAUGAAUGUUGUUAUAUUACAUGUGUGAUGAUGAUGAUAUUAUGUUUCAUUUAUAUUCACUGUAAUGAUAUUUCAAGAUGAAGUCACGCACAAGCCCCCAGACGUUUCCGCCGUCUGGUUCGGGGGGGGGGGGGGUGACAGAUUGGUAUCAGAGCNGGGGGGGUGUGACAAUUGCUCUUUGAUCGAGUUCUCUCCACAUGAAGUAUCAUCCCAAAAAUAAGUGUGCAUCUCAUCCCCCAACCUACGAGUACAAGCUAACAACAUAUUCAUACCUUUUUGCUUUAAAUGCUUAACUGAAUUGAGAAAGCAAUCCAAGGACUACAACUAGAAUUCUGUAAACGAUCAGCACCAACACACCCAUCUAAACCAUAAAUCAUCUGAAAUACUUUCACCCACAAAUCAUCUGGUUUUGAUCGAAAACGCCAAACCCAUCUGAACAACAAAUAUCUAUUUAAUGCAAAACCACUACCAAUCCCAUACCACCCAAACUCUUACUUGCCAAACAGUUGUUCCAUUUAAUCCAAGUAUCUUAUGCUCCUCUAUAUCACCUCCUAUAAAAAAAACUUGUUACGUAACGAUUCCAAAUGUUUGUGCACAACAACUAAGAUUUUAUAGAGAGACAUAUACGAUUGGAGGCAGAUUUCCAAGCACCGCUUUAAUCAAUGAAAGUCGGCUACCAACAGACAAAGUACGAGCUUUCCAAUUAGAGAGUUUAUAAAUAAACUUAUCUACAACUCCUUUCCAAUUUUCACACAGACCCAUAUUACUCCCAACUGGAACACUAAGAUAAGAAAACGUCAAAGGAGAAACUAUACAGCCCAAAAGUGCAACCAUCUCAUUAACUACCACCUCAAACACUCCCACACCAAAAAUAUUACUUUUAUGGACAUUAAUUUUAAGGCCCGAGACUAAGAAAAAACAUCUUAGAAGACACACCAAAUUACUACCAUUUCUUUAAGACCUAUCACCCAAGAAAGUAACAUCAUCAACAUACAAAAGACGAGACAACACCACACUAUAAUGCCCCAGCACUGCUCAUUCGAACAAAACAAUAUGCUCAGCCUUAUAGAUAACAUCAUGAAGACCCUCCAUAGUUAGGAUAAAUAAAUAAAAAGAAGUGACAACGGGUCACCCUGUCUAAGACCCCAACAUAUCUCAAACUCAUCCGUAGGGGAACCAUUAACAAUAAUAGAAACCAUAGCCCAAUUUAUCCAUAACCAAAAUCCAAAAAGUCCCAUCGUAAGGAAUCAUAAGCUUUCUCAAAAUCAACUUUGAAGACAAUAAGACUUUAUUUAUGCUUACGAUACCAUUCCAUAACUUCAUUCAAAAUAAAUAGACCAUCAAGAAUAUUCCUUCCAAUAAUAAAAGCAGACUGCUCCCGACUAACACAACUCCCAAUUUGUUUUUAUACUUUUCAAAAUGGUUUGAAUAAAAGAUCCAUAUAUAUGGCCAUAUAUCUAUAUUUUGAUAUAAUAUUGUAAGUUGUUUUACAAAACUAGGCAAGUUUCGAAGUAUGGGAAUAUUUGUCGCUAUUUCAUAUGUUGUUUGCCUCUAUCCUAUAUCCUAGUGAUCAAAGGGGUGCUCCAGCCGAUAAAGCCAAGAAGCAACCUUAAGCAGUAUAUGAGAAAUGAUGAACUACAGGAUAAUUGUGAUUAUAAUCACCUAAGUUGUCAUCAAACCAAGAAGACUUGAUUUGAAAUAGCUGUUAAAUCAUGGAAAAGACAAGGAAAUAUCUUAAUAUGAAUGAUUAAGCAAUGAUAAGCUUCAUGCCAAGCCAACAUUCAAACCAUUUACCCGAUUGUAAUGAUUAAGCGCGAAUAGGAAUGUUGAUUCGAAUUACUUGUGCAGUAAAUGGCGGACCUAGAAUAUAAGAUCCCCAAUAUAUAAAAUUCCCUAAAUCCAUUAUUAUAAAGAUUCGGAAAAAGAUGUAUACUUAUUGGUUUAAUGGAAACUAGGAUAAAAGUAUUUUUGAGAUUAAUCUUUCACAUGAGCUGUCAUCAUCUAAUAAAGUAAAUAUUUAUCUUUGAACAAAGUGUAAGAGGUUCAUGGCAUAUGUAAGAUUCGAGCGUAUGAGAGGGAUGUUUCCCUCACUUUUAAUAGGUCAUAUUAUUCUUUUCCCCACUUCUCUUUCCCUCACCUAAAACCCAAAGAAUGAGUGGGAAGAGCUUCAUUCAUUAUUUUUUUAAAAAAAAUAAAAUUAAUUGAUUUUUAUGAUUUAUAAUUUUUAGAUUAAAAAUAACCAAAAAUUUUAAUUAAAAAGAAAAUGCAUUUCAUUAAUUAAAAUAAUAAUUACAAUAAACCUAAAAUUUAAAAAACAAGAAAAUUAAAAAAAAAAAACACAAACUAAAAAUCGAACAAACCAACAACGACUUACAGAAAAGAUUUUUCCGAGUCAUCAAACUCAUCAACAAGUUAACAUUAUUGUUGGGUUUGGGUUUGAGUUUGAGUUUGAGUUUGGGGUUGAUGUUGAUUCGACGAUUGUUGAUCUGAAAACAUAACAAAGUUUGCAAAUAUUUGCAGUGUAACAUUUAAAACUUGGAGCAGGUAAUAUUGUCCAACAUUUUGGUAUUGAAAUUAUAGUGGGGAUUGAAUGGAAGCAUCGAGUUGGGGGCGAUAAACUCCUUAUGGUGAUGAAUUGAUAACAAAAAUGUUUCAAGUAGGGAUGUUUAAACUCAAACCAUACUUUUUUUUCCUUCAAUCGGAAGUUGAGAUUUGAUUGUCGGGAUUUUUUUUUUUUUUUUUGAGAACAAAAUAAAGAGAAUAGAGAGUUUGUUUGAAUGUUGAUUGAAGAUAAAUAGUUGAGUAUUUAUAGGUGUUUAAAAAGGUAAAAAAACAAAAAAAAAAAAAAAAUUGGGUUUAAAUGCAUAUAUCCGUUGGUAAAAAAAUUAUUUAUUUAUUAUUUUUACCGUUAAUCAACGGCUAUUUCACAAAAAAAAAGAAAAAAAAAACUCUGGCCAAUGAUAGAGGGAGAGAGAACGCGGGGUAUCUUCCCCUCCCCCUUUCCCGCACAUCCGCCUCCUUCAGCGACAGUGUGGUGUUCCGUCAUGCGGGAAGGCUUCUGCUCCUUCUUCCCGCUAUGAUACCGUCCGGCCAAAAGGAAACUUAUAUCAUGUACAUAUUCACCUUCGUUGAGAGUAAUGAAAAACUAAAUCUUAAAGAGUUUUAAUGUCUCUUUCUCACAUUUACACUUGCAUGAUAGUCCCACAACUUAGACCAUAUGAAAUUCUUACCUAAGCUAAAAAAUUCUUGAUAUUAAUGGUUUUUAGUAACCUUUUGAACCCUAAUGCCAAAUGUUUAAAAUUUUAGAUUCAAAUCAAAGAAAAGGGGUUAAGUGGAAUGUUACAUACCUCGUAUUAUAAUCUUGAAAGGUCAUCAACAUCCUCAAGUUUGCAAAACACCUGCAUUAAACACUUUCAUAUUAAUUUUUAAAUUAGCAAAACACCUACAUUAAUUCAUUUCAUAUUAAUUUUAAAUUAAUCAUAGUUAAUAUAAUUAUAAAAUCCUUUAACCCCUAAUGUUGGGUUUUACACCAACAAAAGAACUAAAUAACGAGUUGAAAAACAAAGUUUUGAACAUCAUCUUAGUUUCGAACAUGUUCUCAAGCUUAAAACAUGUUUUUAAACUUCAAAAUUCAUCGGUAUCUAAAUGUAACAUGUUUUAAUUAUUAUAUAGUUUUCAUAUACUAAAACAACUAAGAAAAAACAUAAGAAAAAAAGUUUUGUAACUCUUCUACAAAUUUCAAAACUCAUUUUGUCAAAGGCGACCUUGAAAUAUUCGGUUGUGGAAAGCAUUCACUCAACAAAUGUAGGUCCAUUCAAUAAAAUCGACAAUUGACCUAAUUUCAAAAUAUGGUUGUCAUUUCUAUAUCUCCAUGAAAAACUAUCAAAUUGUUAAAAGAGUUUAUGCAAGAUAUUUGUUAACUAUUUAUACAAAAUUGUUCAAUCCUCCAAUAGAUAUUUUGAUGCAACACUUGAUAUAAAACUACAAGUUACGAAUAAAAAAAAGUACUAAUAACAAUUAACAAUUAAAAAAUAAAGAAUUGUCUUCUAACUAAAGUUCAACAGUUAAAUUUGGAGGGUAAAUCCUGUUCUGCCUACAAUGUUCUUAGCUGGCACCUAAUGCAGCUGAGCCGCCUAUAAAUUCCCCAUUUUUCACAAUCCAAGUGUCACAAUUCAAAUCAAUUGGAGAGGCGUCUUAAUAAACGCCCUUCAAAUUUCUCUCUUCUGACUUUCAAAAUCCCUAAAUCCCCGAUUUCGAUCUCUUUCUGUUUCAAUUUUUUGCGAAAAUGAGGGAGUGCAUCUCAGUUCACAUCGGACAGGCUGGUAUUCAGGUCGGAAACUCCUGUUGGGAGCUUUACUGUCUCGAACAUGGAAUCAAGGUAAUCAUUUGCUUAAUUUCUUAUAUUAAUUUCCGUUUUACAAUCUAGUUUGUUUGAUCUAGAGUUCAGAAACGCGAUUUGUGAUGCAUCUACUAGUUGAUCGGAUUUAUUUUCUUCGUUAAUCACUUUUGUUAGAACUUAGAAUGCGUACUCUGAUCUAUUCGAUGCUUUUUCAUAUACAUGAUUGCUUGUUCUUCCUCUGUUACUUGAUCAACAACUUACGAUUUCUAUGAAUCGCGUUUUAUAAUGCUGAUAUUAAAUCAAGGAUUGUUCUAAGAUUCAUGAUGAUCGCGUGAUUAGUUCAUGUUUUUCCAUGAAACUCUUAUUUUAGACUGAAUUUAUCGUCUUAUAUGCGUUAUUCUGAUGAUUUAUUGCCUGAAAUUAUUUCGAUUACUUCAUGCUAAUGCGAUUGGUUGUAAUUUGUAGUUGAAAAUUUUCAUUAAAUUGCUAUAUUUUUUUCAGCCUGAUGGCCAGAUGCCAAGUGACAAAACUGUCGGAGGAGGUGACGAUGCAUUCAACACCUUUUUCAGUGAAACAGGCGCCGGAAAACAUGUCCCCCGCGCCAUUUUUGUAGAUCUCGAACCCACCGUCAUCGACGAAGUCAGGACCGGAACAUACCGUCAACUUUUUCACCCGGAGCAACUCAUCAGCGGCAAAGAAGACGCUGCAAACAACUUCGCCCGCGGCCACUACACCAUCGGAAAAGAAAUCGUAGACUUGUGUUUAGAUCGCAUCCGAAAACUCGCCGACAAUUGCACCGGUCUUCAAGGCUUCCUGGUGUUCAACGCCGUCGGCGGCGGAACUGGCUCCGGUCUCGGCUCGCUUCUUCUCGAACGUCUCUCCGUUGACUAUGGUAAAAAGUCAAAGCUUGGGUUCACGGUGUAUCCGUCGCCACAAGUUUCCACCUCCGUCGUUGAGCCGUACAACAGCGUUCUCUCCACCCACUCUCUCCUCGAACACACCGACGUCGCCGUCCUCCUCGACAACGAAGCAAUCUACGACAUCUGCAGAAAAUCUCUCGACAUUGAACGCCCGACGUACACCAAUCUCAACCGGUUAAUUUCUCAGGUAAUCUCCUCCUUAACCGCUUCUCUCCGAUUCGACGGAGCUUUAAACGUCGACGUUACCGAAUUCCAAACAAAUCUCGUCCCAUACCCUCGAAUCCACUUCAUGCUCUCCUCCUACGCUCCCGUCAUCUCCGCCGAGAAAGCGUACCACGAACAAUUAUCUGUGGCGGAGAUAACAAACACGGCGUUUGAGCCGUCGUCGAUGAUGGCGAAGUGCGACCCUCGCCAUGGGAAAUACAUGGCGUGUUGUUUGAUGUACAGAGGUGAUGUUGUUCCGAAGGAUGUGAAUGCUGCGGUGGCGACGAUUAAAACGAAGCGGACGAUUCAGUUUGUGGACUGGUGUCCGACGGGGUUUAAGUGUGGGAUAAACUACCAGCCGCCGACGGUGGUUCCGGGAGGGGAUCUGGCGGAGGUGAAACGGGCGGUGUGUAUGAUUUCGAAUUCGACGAGUGUGGCGGAGGUGUUUUCGAGGAUUGAUCAUAAGUUUGAUCUUAUGUAUUCGAAGAGGGCGUUUGUUCAUUGGUAUGUUGGUGAAGGGAUGGAGGAAGGUGAGUUUUCGGAAGCGAGGGAGGAUUUGGCGGCGUUGGAGAAGGAUUAUGAGGAGGUUGGGGCGGAGUCCGGCGACGGUGAUGAGGAUGAGGGUGAGUAUUGAUAAUACAUGAUGAUGAUGAUGAUGAUGAUGAUGAUGAUGUGUUGUUAUGUAUGUCUUUUGAGUUUAUAUUGUUUAUGGAUUUGGAUUUGAUUUGUGGAG